AGCCACAGAGCCACAGACAUUGGACCUGGAGGAUGCAUCAUUUGUUGCCUUUUCCAAUGUAGCAAGAGGAUUUCUCUCAUGGCAGAGAACUUAAACUUCUUUCUCUGAGAAUUACGUAUGUUUUGGACGUAUGUUUUCAAGGGCCCGACAUAGCAAUAGUGAUCCAAGUAUGUUAAAUUGGUCACUUGGAUUAAUCUGUGAUUAAAGGCCCUGCAGGAUGAAGGUCCAGAGGAGGAUGGGGAGAGCUGGUCUACGAAUACAGCAACACGGGAAAGCUGGCCAGCAAAUCGAGAGAGAGUCCAAAACAAAUCAUUUGAACAUCUGCUCUAAGUGUUCCUGAUUUUGACUUUUGGGUUAUAUUAGGAAACUGAGGCUGGAACUAACAGCUCCAUGGAUGGAUGGAUGAAGACCUUGAGAAUGGAACCUGGUUUGUUUGGCUUCAAGACUGCUCCUCCCAUUGUGCCAUAUGCCCUCAAAACUGGAAAUGUGUGUCUUGCACUGAAGGGAAGGCAAGAGCCUAAGAAUGAGGCUGCAACAGAAUAAAAUCCCCUACACAAAUAUUUAAUAAAAAUCUGUAAUUUCACAAAAGCACCAAAAGCCCAAGUUAUUUUGCAAAACAACUUAUGGAUCCCUAGCAAGCAUCCAAAAAGGCCCCAAACAUCACAAAAUGGCUUUGAAAAUCCCUAUCUAGACGAUCUUUAAUUAAGAACCUUUCAAGUGUUAAACCUGCAUUUGUCCUUGGCUGAUCUUUAAUUAACAUAGGAUAGUCCCUGUCUUUACAAGAGCAGAUAUGUUACCCUUCCUAGUUUUUCAUCUAGGGUUCUACCCUUCUCUCAGAGAUUUGUCCAGUAACCAUGAUCACAAAUAUAAAGCCAGCUGAAAUUUGGAGUGGGUGAAACAAGACAAGGAAAAAUGAGCACUGCAUUUAGCUAUUGGCCCAAGAGUGAAAGAGGGAUGGAGUAAGUAACUGAUCCUCUGCAACCCAAUCAGUCUCCCUUUGGACAGGGAAAUUCUUGUGUGAGGGCCUGGUUGGGCUUACCCGCAGAAUGGGUCUGGACCCAUGGCUGCAAAUGAGACUGAAUAUCUGCUUGAGACUCUAUUAGAGGAUAGAGUUAGCCUGAUAGAGUCACUGAAGCAAGCGGAGACUAAAUGCUGGCUGAUCCCUGAAGAGGAAAGCCACUUUUUCUGGGCCCUGGGCCCUGAAGAUUUUGCAUGACGCCUGAGGCCUUUAUUUGAAGAUUAGGUGCUAAGAAUUGCUUCCUGAUCAUAUCUUGCCAACUGGCUUCCUAAAUCCCAGUUCCAUCAUGGGGUAACCCUGACAGAAUUUCAGAUGAUUUGAAAUACUCUGGCACAUGGAAGAGCAGACUGUUAUAUCCUCAAGAAAAAAAAGUAUAUAUGUACACAUACAUAUAUGCAUGCAUGUGUGUAUUAAUGUGUAACUCUCUUUACACACAUGCAC